rnacentral:rRNA from 1 species
UACGUAGGUGGCAAGCGUUGUCCGGAUUUACUGGGCGUAAAGAGCGCGCAGGCGGUCGUGCAAGUCGCGUGUGAAAGCCCCCGGCUCAACUGGGGAGGGUCACGCGAUACUGCUCGACUUGAAGGCAGGAGAGGGAAGUGGAAUUCCCGGUGUAGUGGUGAAAUGCGCAGAUAUCAGGAGGAACACCGGUGGCGAAGGCGGAUCUCUGGGCCAUUACUGACGCUGAGGAGCGAAAGCGUGGGGAGCGAACAGG